rnacentral:misc_RNA from 1 species
GUAGGUGAACCUGCGGAAGGAUCAUUAACACGUAUUCACGUUUAUAACCCGAGAAUUUCCUUAGGAUGGCUUAUUCGAGUAAAAGCCCUGAUGCCCUUUUGUCAAUGUAUGGCGAGGAGUCUUAAUUGGAACCUACUUGGAAUUGAUUGCUAGCCGCUCUUUAUGAGUUCUUCAUAAGGGUAUGUGGAUCUUUCUAAUCUGAGUGGGAUCUGAUUGAGGCAUCUUGCUAUGGGUUGAUGAGAGAGUGUUGAGGCUCGGCCCUACAACUUCGGUUGUUGCGGACAUUGAAUUUGCUUCCUAAGUAACUACUUUUUUAAGUAGUUAGACUUCAGGGACACUUCGCAAGGAGUUGCCCUGAGGUUACUUGAAACCCCUUUUUUCUAAACUAAAAGCCGUCUCUUUGUGGACCGCUUUUAACCGAAUAUUGUACAACUCUUAGCAACGGAUAUCUUGGUUCUG